rnacentral:rRNA from 1 species
GACGAACGCUGGCGGCGUGCUUAACACAUGCAAGUCGAGCGGUAAGGCCCUUUCGGGGGUACGACGAGCGGCGAACGGGUGAGUAACACGUGGGUGACCUGCCCUCAGCUCUGGGAUAAGCCCGGGAAACUGGGUCUAAUACUGGAUAUGACUCCAUGACGCAUGUUGUGGGGUGGAAAGCCUUGUGCGGCUGAGGAUGGGCCCGCGGCCUAUCAGCUUGUUGGUGGGGNGAUGGCCUACCAAGGCGACGACGGGUAGCCGGCCUGAGAGGGCGGACCGGCCACACUGGGACUGAGACACGGCCCAGACUCCUACGGGAGGCAGCAGUGGGGAAUCUUGCGCAAUGGGCGAAAGCCUGACGCAGCGACGCCGCGUGAGGGAUGACGGCCU